AAAGCAAGUAAAUCCAGGAGCUGUUGCUUCUUUGCCAAUGCAGCGGCUUAGACAGAAGUUCUGACAGCCAGCGGCUCUUGUUGACUUUGGAGAGCUGUGCUGUGCCCUCACAGUGAAUCUGGAGAUUCUACACCC
rnacentral:snoRNA from 1 species